rnacentral:rRNA from 1 species
UACGUAGGGUGCGAGCGUUAAUCGGAAUUACUGGGCGUAAAGCGUGCGCAGGCGGUUAUGUAAGACAGAUGUGAAAUCCCCGGGCUCAACCUGGGAACUGCAUUUGUGACUGCAUCGCUGGAGUGCGGCAGAGGGGGAUGGAAUUCCGCGUGUAGCAGUGAAAUGCGUAGAUAUGCGGAGGAACACCGAUGGCGAAGGCAAUCCCCUGGGCCUGCACUGACGCUCAUGCACGAAAGCGUGGGGAGCAAACAGG